rnacentral:lncRNA from 1 species
AUCUAUUGGUUAAAUCAUAAGCAAUGUAUACAAUGAAUAUAGAGUCGCCACCGCACUUUUAUUUAUCCUAAGGACUGGUUAAAAAGCGAACAAAAACCUAAGAAGUUUUACACGUAGAAAACUAAUGAAAAAGAUCAGAGAAUCUGGAUAAGGGGUAAAUUACGCAAUGGGAAGGUGUUAGGCACCCAAUGCGUCCUAGGUACUCCUAGGGAGCCCUUUUCACACUUUGUUGUUUGAAAAUUAUUAUUUGUCAUGACAUAAGUAUUGUGCAAACAUGAUUGGGAUGAUGAGAAAAGAAUAUACAAGUUAGUUAUUUUUGUGUUCGAACGGAUGAACCCGUUGCCUACG